rnacentral:misc_RNA from 1 species
AAUCUGGGGCCCUUAUCCAUAAACUUUGUGGUGGAAUAAAGCUUUAGGUAAUCUUGAAAACUGUAGCUGUUAGGGUACAAAAGUUUGGGUGCUGGAGAAAUAAUGGCAUCGCCUGCAGGAUUGUAGAAGGUGGCAAUGGAGAGUCUACUUCCAUUCUUGUCAGCCAUGACACGGUGCAAAGCACUUUUAUACCUUCCAUUGCUCAACACUUCCAGUUGAUCACCAGUAUUGAUGAAAAUUCUGUUGUUCUUGGAUGGUGGGAUCUCUACCCAUUCUCCAUCCUUGAAGAAUUCAAGACCUGGGACUUGAUCAUCUUGGAGCAAAAGUAUGAUCCCCCCAGCAUCUGUGUGCUCUCUAAGUCCUUUCACAAGCUCUGGCUGAGGACAUUGUGGGUACUUGGCCACUUUUGUUCCCACAGAAGGACCUCUACCUCCUUUGAAUGCGUCCUUUAUAUGAUCUUUCUCCAAACCAAGGUUCUCAGAUAUGAGCUCAGAAAUCUUCUCUGCUAGCUUUAUCAGUCGAGUUAUGUACUCAUCCAUUGAUUUGCAAAAAUCCUGUGGCAGGUUUGGGAUUUCAUUGAUGUUGGACGUUGGACGGUGCCAAAUGAAGUAAGUGCUCUCCCAGUCUAUAUCAGAUGUAUUACCAUCAAUAUUCAAGCUUUUAGCUAUUGCUGAUUCAUAGAAGCUUUCCUUCAAGUUUACUUCAUAGUGAGAAUUCACCAACUGCUUUACUUUCUCCAUCAAUUCCUUAUCAAUUCCAUGGUUCUCAACCUGAAAGAAACCCCAUUUCUCACAAGCUUCAUGCAGAAGUCCCAUCAUUUUGCUCCUG